CGGAGGUCUUACAGAGUUAUCCAACUCCCAAACCCAUGUGAACUUAUCUCUUUGUUGCCUCGGCGCAAGCUACCCGGGACCUCGCGCCCCGGGCGGCCCGCCGGCGGACAAACCAAAACUCUUGUUAUCUUAGUUGAUUAUCUGAGUGUCUUAUUUAAUAAGUCAAAACUUUCAACAACGGAUCUCUUGGUUCUGGCAUCGAUGAAGAACGCAGCGAAAUGCGAUAAGUAAUGUGAAUUGCAGAAUUCAGUGAAUCAUCGAAUCUUUGAACGCACAUUGCGCCCAUUAGUAUUCUAGUGGGCAUGCCUGUUCGAGCGUCAUUUCAACCCCUAAGCACAGCUUAUUGUUGGGAACCUACGGCUUCGUAGUUCCUCAAAGACAUUGGCGGAGUGGCAGUGGUCCUCUGAGCGUAGUAAUCUUUUAUCUCGCUUCUGUUAGGUGCUGCCCCCCCGGCCGUAAAACCCCCAAUUUUUUCUGGUUGACCUCGGAUCAGGUAGGAAUACCCGCUGAACUU
rnacentral:rRNA from 1 species